AGUCACUGACAUUAGAUACCCGUGUAGUCCAGGGUGUAAACGCUGCAGACUUGGUGUUGGAGGCCCUUUGGGGGCAUUCAGUGCCGGAGAGAAGUUGUUAAGUCUGCUACUUGGGGAGUACGUCCGCAAGGAUGAAACUUAAAGGAAUUGGCGGGGGAGCACCGCAACGGGAGGAGCGUGCGGUUUAAUUGGAUUCAACACCGUAAAACCCACCAGGGAAGACUGUUACAUGAAGGCCGAGAUGAAGACUCUGCUAGAUUUUCAG
rnacentral:rRNA from 1 species